UACGGAGGGUGCAAGCGUUAAUCGGAAUUACUGGGCGUAAAGCGUGCGCAGGCGGUUUGUUAAGUCUGUUGUGAAAUCCCCGAGCUCAACUUGGGAAUUGCAAUGGAUACUGGCAGGCUGGAGUAUGGUAGAGGAAGGUGGAAUUCCCGGUGUAGCAGUGAAAUGCGUAAAGAUCGGGAGGAACACCAGUGGCGAAGGCGGCCAUCUGGGACAACACUGACGCUGAAGCACGAAAGCGUGGGGAGCAAACAGG
rnacentral:rRNA from 1 species